UCGGGCUGGUUUUUCUUGGAGUCCGCAGGUGAUUGGGGUGUAUACUGUCACUAAAAUCUGGAAACCCUGUUUGACGAUCCAAACACCUGCGCAAUCUCAAAACAAAAAGCCAUGUUCUCUUUCUCAUCAUUUAUCCUGUUUUCCAGAGCGGCGUCCUGUAUUUGGGACACCAAAUUGGCCAGAGCUGGAAUGAAUAUGGACCUGGAGAGAAUCAGCAGCAGAAGAGACAUGCUAAACACACAGAUGUCAGAUGCUCCCCAGGCCUGAAGAAGGAUAAAAGGGCCCCCGAAGAGCAUCUCUGGACAAAGAAAGGGAGAAGCAUGAGGAAGCCUCAGGCAAUGAGAUUGUCAAAACCCAUACAGUACCCUGCAAAAGUCUUAAGUGGUAAGCUUUCUUUUCACGUCUGUGAAAAAGGCCUUGCCCCCAUAUUCCAUCAAUCAAGAAUAGAUUAUACCGAUGUACAGCAUCCUCCUCUUUCCCUUCUCCAGCAUCAGCCAGUCGCACAGGUGAUCACAUGCAUACGACUUCAGUUUCAAUUGACUGAAUGAUUUAAGAUAAACUUGCUGUUAUCUUAUUUAAGAUAACAGCUGCCUUUACAUCAGAAAUUUGUUAUUUAUAUUUAUUGCAUAAAGGACGGAUUAUACUUGAGCAAAAUGUUUUAUUUUUACUAUUGUUAUUUCUACUCCACAAGAGCCCAAACAUCUUCCUCUGUUACCGUCUAUGGUGAUUAUAUUCAUUUGGGAGGAAGUGUCUGGGAACGAGAUCAAUACAAUUCUGAGGAGGCACUCAAGCAGACAGUACAGUCCCCCAAAAUCUGGCCCCAUUACAGUUUUUCUAGAAUGCUUAAGCACUAAUUUCCAAGCAUGAUUAAUGUUUUCAAAACAGUUAACGUGCAGGUGCAAGCUUCUUUACCAGUGCUGUAUAUACAGAGAAUUAAAAUAAAAUACACCAUUCCAUUUCAUGUGUUUUGCACAUAUACCUGUAUAUUGUAUUCUGUGUGGUAUACCACUGUAAUUUACUGACAGUAAUUCUUGAAUAUUAUGUUGAUACCACAAUUGAUCUGACAAUGUUGGGCUGGACCCGCAUCCAUAAGCGACAUAAGUGGUGGUUUAGGGCCCCCGACCGCUUGGGACUCCCCGACCGCUAUUGAGCCCCAGCCACUACAGGGGGCCCAAAUGUAAUUUUGCUUAAGGCCCCCAAGAGGCUAGAGCCUGCCCUGGUUAGGAUUAAUAUUGUGUGUUAAAGCAAUGAUAAAUUACUUACUGUUUUGUGGUGCUCAUUAGGUUAUCAUGGAGAUCAACUUGACAACAGUUUCAUUAAAAGUAUAUUAGCAACUGAGAAAAACUGUGACAAUAAAUCCAUACAAUUCUGAUCAGGCACUACUCCAGGCAACCCUGUCAGUCUAGCACACUUGUACAGCAGGGUGCACAAGAUAAAGCACGUUCAAGUGUAGACAUGCAAUUAAUCAUUGCCACUGAAUGUCGAAAUUGUACCAAAAGAACAAAGCAUGGUCAAACGUUAAAAUGUUUAUCUUUAAGGUUGAACACUGGCUGUUUUGUAGCUUUUAUUAUGAGCCUGUGCCUUGCCAAAGUUACAUUUUUGUUACAAUUUUAUUCAGCAAUGAUAAUUAGUCAUGUAAGGAAAUCUUCAAUAAAAUAAAAUUAAAACAUACAGUAAACAAAACAUUUAGUUUUUAUUGUACAAAAGUAUAGUGUGCUGUGUUAUCCUUUUGAUUUGUUCAGUGCACAUAUUUAACCCUUUAGAACCCAUAGUGGUCGCUGACUGCCUUUUUCCUUUAACAAUAAUAUUUUUCAUGCCACAGAAUUGUAUUGAUUAAAACCUGUUACUGUAUUCACAUGGAUGUUGUCAUUAUUAACAAACCAGAAAAAGAGUAUGCUGCCAUUUGACUUUUAGAAGUUGUAUUUAUUUAAUUACUAAAAAUGUCAGUGCCAUUGUAGUCACAACUUUAGAAGAGAUUGUUUCUUUGUUUGGUGGUAGAAAUUUUGAAAUGUUGAGGUGAGUAACAAAUAAAAAGUGGAUAUAUUGUUUGGUGUUGUACUUGUUUGAUGCUAUGAAACUUGAUAGGAGAGUUCACCAGUUGCAGAGCUUAAAUUAUUGCUCGCCCAGGAUCACAAUGGAUAGAGUUGCAGUUUAGCUGUAUAGUUGGCUGUAUAGUCGCAGUAUGCUUUCUUAUGUUUCCACCUGAAAUCAUGAAAAUGGAAGCUGCACCGGCUGCUAGGCAUAGCUAACUAACCAGCUAACUGUCUAAUUCACCUGUCAGCCUACUAAGAAAAGGUAUGUGUCACAUUAACUAGCCGUGAGUGUAGAUGGUUAUGUUGUGCUUUGCUUGUGAUGUUAUCAUCAUGAUCUUGAUUUUGAUGAUAUGCUAAAGAUGUGCUACAUACUUUCACUUCUCAUCUAUGAAAACUCAGAUGUCUUGAGAUGUGUGUGGCUUACGGUGACUUUGUUGUGAUCACAUUAGCUAUGGACCUUGAAUGAUUGUUGGCUGACUCACGUCAGAAAAAGACUUGCCAUUAGGGGUGUUCCGACUAAUUGGACAAAGGAAUAUUGUUAAGGACAUGAGGUGUUUGCUGGACCUCCAUUCUGUUAUUACUAAUCACAGAUGUUUUCCAAACUAUAUGUUAUGAAAAUAUAAAAUUACAAAUGUAAAUGCUGAUUGUGUAAAUGUAAGGACAUUGACUAGGUGUUAGAAAGGGAAUGUUCUGUCCCUCUGGGAAGUAAAACAAGUGCAAAGACAGUCAUGCAUUAUUUAUUAUCAGAUUUUGUGUGCUAAGUUAAACUGAAGUUAAUAUUCCAGCUAGGAAGGAAUUAUAAGUAGGCUAAUAUGCAGUUGCGGUUGAGCAGUGUUGGACAUAGAAGGGGCCAUGAGAGGGUCUAAUUUGGCCCUACCUCCUUGUUCAGUCUUGUCUCCUAAUCGGAGGGCUAAGGAGAGUGGCAGAUGGAGGGGUUCAUUUGGGAUUUAGCAAUAUACCGGCAUUUGAAAUGCACUCCUGGUUUUCUGAUCAGGACUAUAUCCUAUUUUGAUGUCAAGUGUAAAAAAUUGAUACGAUUAUGCCGAGUGUGGCCCUACCCAAGUUGCAUUGUUUAGUAUGUAAUCAUUAUUUUCUUUUUUAUGUCAUACAUAAAGAUUUUUGUUCUAGUUCUCAGUCAGUUUCUAACUAUCUAGUUCUAUGUCAAUAUAUCAGUUUUGUUUCUUUGGACAGUUUGUUGAAAAUGUUCUAUAUUUAGUUUUUCAGUUAGUAUAUUAUACUUCCAUUAAAAUGUUUAUGGUUUUGACCUCAUUACAAGGAGUUCCAUUCAAAGAAGGGGUCAAAGAGGUUGGUCAAAGAGCAGUCGCUCUUCUUUCUUCAUGCUUGAAUUGUUUUUCCUCAACAGAUAUUUCCUGAAUGUGUACAACAUUUGAACGAACUUCUCAAAACGCCUCAUACUACGAGACCCCAGACCUAUCACAAAUUAACAUUAAACUCAUAGCCAUCUAAGCUGUAAUAUAAAUUAUACUAUUCCUUCAAAUGCCACGCAAAAGCAUAACAUGCAAUGACACAUCUGAAGGCCGAAUGCACAUUGCUGAGAGGAACUAAAAACACUAUAAUUUAAAAAAAAGUAUUAAUGAUUCAGUUCCAGAAUUUCCAGUAAAAAUUUUGCACUUGUCAUGGAAUGUGAAUUAUGUUGGAGAUUAUGCUAAUGUGUACAGGCAGUUAACCACAAUUAAUACCAUUUGUGUUGCUUUUGUAGAGUGUUUUUGCACUGUAUUUCACCUACACUGGAAAUCCAAAAAGCAGCUGGUGGAAACAAAAAUAGCAACCGGAAAAAUAUGGGAAUUUUUUCACAGGUAGAGGCUUACAUUCUUAAAAAAAAGUUUAUUCUGCCUCAGCAUCCGAUCUUUGACCUGGCUCUGGGUUCUGGCUAGAGAUUAUUUUUUUAAUCUACAGCACAUCACAGAGUAUGUUUUCUCAAGUUCCCAAUGGUUAGUUUUUGGUCCUCAGAAAUCAUUUGUGGUAUACCAUCAUCAACUGGUGUUUCUGAAUAUAAAAGUCGAUUUUAUAGACAAUGAAUAUAUUUGUAAGUUUGUUAAUUUCUAUACUGUCCUCCAUACACUAAUUGAUUCCGAUUCAUAAUACGGAAAACAGGGUGGUCAGCACUGUACUCAAUUUACACUGUUACUUUUUUUUUCAUUUCUGAAAGUCCAGACAACUGAUGCAUCAUUGAAGUGUCUCAGGUUUGGCUGUACUCUUCACCCGGUUUACCUCAUUGUCAUAUCAUGU